rnacentral:rRNA from 1 species
GAUGAACGCUAGCGGCAGGCCUAAUACAUGCAAGUCGAACGGUGUCUUCGGACAUAGUGGCGCACGGGUGCGUAACACGUAUGCAACCUACCUUACAUUGGGGGAUAGCCUUUCGAAAGGGAGAUUAAUACCGCAUAAGACAGUAGCUGGGCAUCCAGCAGCUGUUAAAGAUUUAUCGAUGUAAGAUGGGCAUGCGUCCAAUUAGUUAGUUGGCGAGGUAACGGCUCACCAAGACUUUGAUUGGUAGGGGAACUGAGAGGUCAAUCCCCCACACUGGCACUGAGAUACGGGCCAGACUCCUACGGGAGGCAGCAGUAGGGAAUAUUGGGCAAUGGACGCAAGUCUGACCCAGCCAUGCCGCGUGCAGGAUGAAGGCGUUAUGCGUUGUAAACUGCUUUUAUACAGGAAGAAACGACUCUUGCGAGAGGCAUUGACGGUACUGUAUGAAUAAGCACCGGCUAACUCCGUGCCAGCAGCCGCCGCCGUAA